GAUGAACGCUGGCGGCGUGCUUAAUACAUGCAAGUCGAGCGAACGGACGAGAAGCUUGUUUUUCUGAUGUUAGCGGCGGGCGGGUGAGUAACACGUGGAUAACCUACCUAUAUGACUGGGAUAACUUCGGGAAACCGGAGCUAAUACCGGAUAAUAUUUUGCACCGCAUGGUUCAAUAGUGAAAGACGGUCUUGCUGUCACUUCUAGAUGGUUCCGCGCUGCAUUAGCUAGUUGGUAAGGUAACGGCUUACCAAGGCAACGAUGCAUAGCCGACCUGAGAGGGGGAUAGGCCACACUGGAACUGAGACACGGUCCAGACUCCUACGGGAGGCAGCAGUAGGGAAUCUUCCGCAAUGGGCGAAAGCCUGACGGAGCAACGCCGCGUGAGUGAUGAAGGUCUUCGGAUCGUAAAACUCUGUUAUGAGGGAAGAACAUAUGUGUAAGUAGCUGAAGACAGCUUGACGGUACCUAGUCAGAAAGCAACGGCUAACUACGUG
rnacentral:rRNA from 1 species